CACGUAGGGUGCGAGCGUUGUCCGGAAUUAUUGGGCGUAAAGAGCUCGUAGGCGGUUUGUCGCGUCGGGAGUGAAAUCAUCUGGCUUAACUGGGUGCUUGCUUUCGAUACGGGCAGACUAGAGGUAUGCAGGGGAGAACGGAAUUCCUGGUGUAGCGGUGAAAUGCGCAGAUAUCAGGAGGAACACCGGUGGCGAAGGCGGUUCUCUGGGCAUGAUCUGACGCUGAGGAGCGAAAGUGUGGGGAGCGAACAGG
rnacentral:rRNA from 1 species